UACGCAGGGUGCGAGCGUUAAUCGGAAUUACUGGGCGUAAAGCGUGCGCAGGCGGUCCGCAAAGUCUGAUGUGAAAGCCCCGGGCUCAACCUGGGAACUGCAUUGGAAACUAACGGGCUCGAGUGUGGCAGAGGGGGGUGGAAUUCCACGUGUAGCAGUGAAAUGCGUAGAGAUGUGGAGGAACACCGAUGGCGAAGGCAGCCCCCUGGGCUAACACUGACGCUCAGGCACGAAAGCGUGGGGAGCAAACAGG
rnacentral:rRNA from 1 species